rnacentral:tRNA from 1 species
GGGCGGAUAGCUCAGAGGGAGAGCACCUGCCUUACAAGCAGGGGGUCACAGGUUCGAGUCCUGUUCUGCCCACCA